UACGUAGGGGGCAAGCGUUGUCCGGAAUCAUUGGGCGUAAAGAGCGUGUAGGCGGUCCGGUCAGUCGGUUGUGAAAGUCAAGGGCUCAACCCUUGAAUGCCGGCCGAUACUGCCGGGCUAGAGUCCGGAAGAUGUGAGUGGAAUUCCUGGUGUAGCGGUGAAAUGCGCAGAUAUCAGGAGGAACACCGAUGGCGAAGGCAGCUCACUGGGACGGUACUGACGCUGAGACGCGAAAGCGUGGGGAGCAAACAGG
rnacentral:rRNA from 1 species